rnacentral:rRNA from 1 species
GACGAACGCUGGCGGCGUGCUUAACACAUGCAAGUCGAACGGAAAGGCCCUGCUUUUGUGGGGUGCUCGAGUGGCGAACGGGUGAGUAACACGUGAGUAACCUGCCCUUGACUUUGGGAUAACUUCAGGAGACUGGGGCUAAUACCGGAUAGGAGCUUCUGCAGCAUGGUGGGGGUUGGAACGUUUCGGCGGUUGGGGAUGGACUCGCGGCUUAUCAGCUUGUUGGUGGGGUAGUGGCUUACCAAGGCUUUGACGGGUAGCCGGCCUGAGAGGGUGACCGGCCACAUUGGGACUGAGAUACGGCCCAGACUCCUACGGGAGGCAACAGUGGGGAAUAUUGCACAAUGGGCGGAAGCCUGAUGCAGCAACGCCGCGUGCGGGAUGACGGCCUUCGGGUUGUAAACCGCUUUCGCCUGUGGCGAAGCGUGAGUGACGGUAAUGGGUAAAGAAGCACCGGCUAACUACGUG